rnacentral:lncRNA from 1 species
ACGUGAUUCAACUAUCUCCUUAACCAUAUUGAAAUAUAUUCCUUUCCAGUAAACAUUCACAGGAGACAUCCUACCCUGAAACAACGUACAGAUUUUCUUCAGUUAUAAGGAACGAGUCACCAUUGCACAAGGCUAGAAACAGUAAACAUUCAUACAAGGCAUCGCAUCAUGAAAACACAAUCAAACCUUCUUCACUCUUAAGGAAAGGUUCAUCACUGGACAAGCCUAGUACCAGAUGAAUUCCUAGCCCUGGAGCAAAGAGAGUUAAACAUUCACAGGAGAUAUCCUACCCUGAAACGAAGUACAAAUAUUCUUCAGUUAUAAGGAACGAG